GUUUGCAUGGAAAUCAUGAAGUCUUGUCUUUCUUUUUUCAAAUGUUUGGGAAUUAGAGUUAAGAACAGCUCAGAAACUGGUCUCAUUCUUUUUUUGUGGGAAGAAUGACCAGACGCAUAAAGGCUAAAUCUUCCAGCAAGUGCGAGACACCUCUCUCAGUGUGUGCAGUAAACCUAACAGAAUGAAAGGCUGUCUGUGAAGGACUGUGCCACAACACCUAAAAUGAAGGGAAUGGGAAAGCCAAGUAACGACUCAAAGGCUGCCACAGAGCUUUUGUCUACCUUUAACUCAUUGUGCUGCCCAGAGUCAGCUAGCUGAUGAAAAAAGAGAUCAUGAAGAAUUACACCUACCUCUUCAGCCCAGGAGAGACACACAUGACUGGCUUAUAUGUAAAUGAGACCUGGAUGCUUUCCAGAUCCACAUGAGGUCUGCGAGGCAGUUCCUCACCUGAUUCCACGCCUGUGUUAAGACGGAGCCCAGAUGCAGCCCAGCUCAUAGAACUCUGUAUGCAGUGCUCUCUGCAGCUCACCACACUGCAGGGU